GACUUGAAGACAGUGAAGACUAAUGAAGUAGAACGUCAGAAACCUACUGUGAAGGAAACUGAAAUUAACACAGCCCUUCCCAAGCAAUUCUUCGGGAAAAGAGAAGAAAAACUUCCUUACAAAGCAUUUUGAGGAUUUGUGAAAAAUUGACAAACAGAGGUUCAAGAAAUGGAAUUCCUUCAGUUUUCUAAAGUGUCCUAGCUGCAACCAGCAGGUGCCUCAUGUCGUGAAGGCUGUGAAGACUUCACUCCUGGCUCCAUCCUAGAGGAGAUGGUGGCUUCUGAGAGCCUCAAAAGAUCACCACGCUAUGGAAAGAAACAAAAGGAAGGAAGAAGAAUGAGAAUACCAUCCUGCCACACACAGGGAGACAUAUGGCACACUUGAAAUAUGUUCAAGUACAAUGAUUGUGUUGUUCUACCAUGAUUCAUGCACCUCUGUCCCUUCCCAACCAGUAGGAUGAUGGUGGGUGAAAGUUCAUUCUGGCUUUGGUGUGGGCCCUGGGCUUCUGCAUUCCCUCCAGUGUGUGUCUCAUGGUGGCUCCUGUUGGCCUAAUCAAGCUUGUGUGGCUCGAUAUACAAGUCACAAAGAUUUUUCUUUUCAUGCUUGCAAUCAUUGAGAUUGCAUUCUCUGAAAUAAUGGUUUCACCAACUUUAUUUAUAUUGACUUACUAUUUCUGUUCAUAAUUGUUCACGGCACAAUUUAUUCCAUUGCGAAAGGUACACCUCUCCUUUAGUAUAAAAAUACUCACAAAAAGAAAGGAAUACGCCUGAUAGAAAAUGACUGCAACAAAGAGUCUAUUAUUAACCAUGUAAGCCCUCCUGUUUUUAUGCAAUUAGGAUGGUGUCUGCACUUUUCUUAGAAGCCUUUAUUUGGUGAUUGUUUCUUAUGCCUCACCACAAAAACGCUCCUCUCCCAAAGCAAUUACAGUUUCAGAAUCUAUCUGCUUGCCACCUUAUUAGGCUAUUACUGUUUGAGCACGCAGUACUUCGCUUGUUUGAUUCAUUCACAUGUAGGUUAUUUCAACAUGGAGUGUGUGGAGUGAUGGGAGGUGCCCCAUGUCCCAGGAAAUACAGUUGUGGAUUUUUGCCUUUUAAUUUGCAUUUAAUCACUUGAGCAUGAGGUGAAGAACAGUCGAUGAUAUUUCAAUGAUAAUACACAUUUAGAGGCUAACAGAGUGAGAAGAGAAAAGAAAAUUGGCUUAACUCUGUAACAGUACUAUUGAUUAUGGUUAUUGAAGCUCAAUUACCAUGCAACUCAAUAGUAAAUAGGCUUAUGCUUAUAUACAUGUGCAUGUAUUGUUAAAUAUUAGAUGCCAGUGUACAUUUUAUUUGGUUCUUUUAGUGAACUAUGUCCAAGUGCAAAUUAUGAGCCUCAAGUAGUGAGAUUAAUGCCCCAAAGCACAUGAAAUGCAUUUUGUAUGCUCAAUGUCUUCCUUCUUUUGGCAGACUUUUCAAUUAUUUACACCACUUAGAAUAAUGGUUAUUGUCCUAUUGCCCUUAGGAACAUGGUCUGAAUGCCCAAAGCAACAUCCCAAUUCCCAGCAUGACUCCACCAUUGUUUUCAUUCCUUCCUGGCUAUGGCCCUGAACUUGGGGCCUUGCACAAUGGUUCCUUCCCUCUCUCUGAAACUUUUCUGCCCCGAUCUUUGCUUUCUGCUGCUCUUCCAGGUCUUUGCUUUAGAUGGCCCUCUUCUUCUCCUUUUCUCCCUAAAACUGGACUAGAUGCUCCUUUAAUAUGCUUCUUACACUUGAUACUUUCCCUAUCUUAAAAUGUUCAUAUUCUAUUGACAUUGACAUUACAUUGUUCCCUUCCAGACAAUGACCUUCUUGGGCAUAGGGAGUUCAUUUUAUUCAUUGUCGUAUCCUCCAUGUUUAGCACAGUGCACGGCACUUAAAAGACCCAAUAAAUAUUUGUUGAAGGAAUACAUGAAAGAGCAAGUCCUGCUCUGCUGUUAGGCCCACAGCACAUUGCUUCUUCCUGCCACAGAAGAGAAGGACAGUCUGGUUGGAAUAAGUCAUUUUCAAGAAUAUUACGAUUAGGCCGGACACAGUGGCUCACACCUGUAAUACCAGUACUUUGGGAGACCGAGGCGGGUGGAUCACCUGAGGCUGGGAG